GGGGCUUUGGUUUAGUGGUAUAAUGCUCGCUUAGGGUGCGGGAGGUCCCGGGUUCGAUUCCCGGAAGCCCCC